rnacentral:rRNA from 1 species
AACGAACGCUGGCGGCAGGCUUAACACAUGCAAGUCGAGCGCCGUAGCAAUACGGAGCGGCAGACGGGUGAGUAACGCGUGGGAAUCUACCCAUCACUACGGAACAACUCCGGGAAACUGGAGCUAAUACCGUAUACGUCCUUUGGGAGAAAGAUUUAUCGGUGAUGGAUGAGCCCGCGUUGGAUUAGCUAGUUGGUGGGGUAAUGGCCCACCAAGGCGACGAUCCAUAGCUGGUCUGAGAGGAUGAUCAGCCACACUGGGACUGAGACACGGCCCAGACUCCUACGGGAGGCAGCAGUGGGGAAUAUUGGACAAUGGGCGCAAGCCUGAUCCAGCCAUGCCGCGUGAGUGAUGAAGGCCCUAGGGUUGUAAAGCUCUUUCACCGGUGAAGAUAAUGACGGUAACCGGAGAAGAAGCCCCGGCUAACUUCGUGCCAGCCGCCGCAGUAAAAC